GGCUUCGUGGUCUAGCGGUAUGAUUCUCGCUUAGGGUAACACCCUAUAGCAUAAUAUGCGAGAGGUCCCGGGUUCGAUCCCCGGCGAAGCCC